AUUGAACGCUGGCGGCAGGCCUAACACAUGCAAGUCGAACGGUAACAGAAAGCAGCUUGCUGCUUUGCUGACGAGUGGCGGACGGGUGAGUAAUGUCUGGGAAACUGCCUGAUGGAGGGGGAUAACUACUGGAAACGGUAGCUAAUACCGCAUAACGUCGCAAGACCAAAGAGGGGGACCUUCGGGCCUCUUGCCAUCGGAUGUGCCCAGAUGGGAUUAGCUUGUUGGUGGGGUAACGGCUCACCAAGGCGACGAUCCCUAGCUGGUCUGAGAGGAUGACCAGCCACACUGAAACUGAGACACGGUCCAGACUCCUACGGGAGGCAGCAGUGGGGAAUAUUGCACAAUGGGCGCAAGCCUGAUGCAGCCAUGCCGCGUGUAUGAAGAAGGCCUUCGGGUUGUAAAGUACUUUCAGCGGGGAGGAAGGGAGUAAAGUUAAUACCUUUGCUCAUUGACGUUACCCGCAGAAGAAGCACCGGCUAACUCCGUG
rnacentral:rRNA from 1 species